rnacentral:tRNA from 1 species
UAGGAAAUAGUAUAAUGGGAAGCACGGAGGGUUUUGAUCUCUCAGGUGCAGGUUCAAGUCCUGUUUUUCUAG